rnacentral:piRNA from 1 species
UGAUGCUCAAUGUUUUUUAUCUCUUUGGUGU